UAUAUGGCUUGUAAUGUAGGAUAAUGGAAAGAAAAUCGGGAUACAACUGUUAUGUAUACAUUAUGGAGUGAAAUUGCCAGCUUCAGGCAACGCAUAGCUAUUAAACCUCCUUGCCAAAAGCAUUAGCUGUGUAGAGGGUUUCAAGAACGCUUUUGAAAACAGCGAAUGCAAAAAAAAAGAAACUUAUUUUGAAAGAGGAGUACUAAAGUACCCCAAACUGUAAUGCAAUCACUUAGUUAACAGGAGGACUUGUUGAUGCUUGAGUAGGAAACAAGGAUAUCUAUGACAUGCUCCAUUGUACAUGUCAGAUGCUAUGCAGUGCAGUUACCAGUCUUGCACUGACCAGAAAUUUUACUAUGCCAUCUAGAAAACAGAAUGAGAGGAUUCACAUCCUUCAACAGUUGACCGACGCUUCUUCACUGUCACUUCUGGAAACAAAGGAACAAACUGUAAAGAAGCAUAUCCAAAUGCAAAAUUUAUACUCAGACAAGGAUUGGCUGGGCUACUAACAAAUACAGUAGCUGAGAAUGACAAAUACAGGAACUGAGAAAUGGUGACACACUGCCACUAAAAAUAUACAAUAACAAAAACAAAUCUGUUGUCUGCAAGUUUACAUGUGGAUCUUGUGUUAUGAAAAACUCCAAAGAACCAAAUGACACAAAUCUGAAAUGGUUGUUGGUCAACUGGAACUGAUUCUUUAAUUACUAAUGGACUGUACCACAAUCAAGACUACUGACAUUUGUACUAGUAUCACUCUGUUUCAUCCGAGUGAUUAAAGAACCAAUUAGAUGAGGUUCCCAAAAGUUGUUAACAACUUAUCUGUUUGAGAGGUGUGAGGAUCACGUAAAUCUGUGUCAACUGCGCAACAAUUUGUUAGAUGGUCCCUACAGCACUCUGUUUACUACACCUAUAUAGAUGCAGUAGAGAGAGUGAUCUACAGAGCGGAACAAUGUUUUGGACAGAUUGAAAUGUAGUGUAGUCUGAGGUCUAGUUUGUGUUGGAAGGUGACAGUGAAGCCAACAAAUGUGUCAUGAGAAACUCUUGUACACUCUUAAAUUUUUGUAUGUGUUCAAAAGAGCUAUUCUCCCACUGUGGUCUGAUAUUUUCAAAUUUUUAGUGUCUGAAGGUGUUAAUAACAACAACAUUCCCAGCUAAAAAAACACUAUCCCUCGGAAGGUCCUGUUAGUAUGUCAUAAUUUAUUUUGCUAGUGUUCAUGUGCUGUUAGUGGUGACAAUCCUUGGUCAUUUCUUAAGGCUUGUAUCUUCACUAUGUUAAUGAUGCCAUAUGUCUAUCAGUGUGGUACCAUGUAUUUAAUUAAUGUCACAAAAUCAAUAAUUCACUUCUGGAACUUUUCUCUUUGUAUAAUAAUUACAUAUCACAAUUCUACUAACAGACACAAACUCCGUCUUCCACUAUGUACUGAGUGCUUCCUGCAAACACUCAUUUGCUCUUGUGCUUCUGCAACUUCCCCUUCUCCACUUUCUUUGCACACUAUAAUUAUUUCUUCAAACCUUUACAAAAUGUUAACAGUUCUAGAAAAAAAAAGUUUGUGGAAUAUUGUCUUUGCAUUAUAUACAUAUGGUGGAACACAAUGGUAAUUUUAGUUCAGUUCUCUGUUUCUUAUAUUCACUGUAAAGAACAACAAAUAAAUAAUACAACAGUUUCCAAAUCAAUUACCCAUAAAACACAGAAAGAAAGAUAAGCAACAGGAGAAGUCACACAGUAACAAUUAAUCAAUGAAGACAAUGAACAUUCAGCUCUUGUCAAAGCAGCAAGAACAGAAAAUAAAAUAAAAGAUGUCUGCAAUCACAUUAAUUCAUUUCCUACCAUGACAGUGGCAGUAAAAGUAAG